UGGAGCCUCCUCUACUCUUCAAAGACGUUGGUUCCUCUGUUGAUGCAAGUUCACAUCAGCAGAGAGGAAAGUCUCCUGAACCCAGAUGUUUGUCCAUGAAGAGUGAUCGGUCUAUGGGUCGAUGGUUUAACUUCAACGAUGGACGCCGUUCUUAUGACACAGAAGAGGACCAGGAGAGCUCAGAGGUUCCCACAGGUCCGUCUGCCCAGCAGCAUCAAAC